UGAGAUUUAUGAUUAAUUUUGCCUUCUCUGCAACCUUUGGAUCAAGGAUGUUUCCCUGUCUAUCUUCUCUUGACUUCUUCCAUAGCAGAGAUCGAUCAAUUUCUUCACCGGGCAUGGUUUCUUCGAAUUGAUGCUCCAAACCAACAUACCCUUUUUGAGACAACCUAUGGUUGUACUCGAAUUUGUCCCUUCUAUGUGACUGCUCAGAAUGCACAGCCUCAAAAUAUGGGAAUAACCUUGAAGCUACAAAGGUAUCCCAUUGCGAUUUCUCUAAGAAGUUAUAAAGCUGAGGGGGC
rnacentral:lncRNA from 1 species